rnacentral:misc_RNA from 1 species
AUAUUCACCACCACCAAGAUCCUCUGCCAAAUGUAAAAAUGAGCUUUUAGUUUAUCAAUGAAGCCCUUUUUUUGGUGCACAUGCAUGUGUGCAGGGAGCAAAUUUAUAUUAUCUGUUAUCUCUACUAUGUACUGGGCCCUGUUGCUGCAACCAAUUUGGCACGUAGGCUACACUAUUCUAAUUGUAAUUUCAGCAUAUUUUCAUCAAUUCAAACUUCUGAUUUUACCUAGUUCUUUUGGCUCAGAUAAUAUAAAUUAUCAUUUUUGGCUCAGGCAAUAUAAAUUAGCAAAGUGGUAUCAAGUAGAGCCAUGCCCGUAAUUCCAUGGAUUGAAUAGUAAAUAUAGACAACCAAUUAAAAGUUUAGGAACUGGAACAAAUACCAAGGUGUUGAUGAAGCGUCGGAU